CAGUCGCCGCGGGAAUACGAAGGGGGCUAGCGUUGUUCGGAUUUACUGGGCGUAAAGCGCACGUAGGCGGACUUUUAAGUCAGGGGUGAAAUCCCGGGGCUCAACCCCUGAACUGCCUUUGAUACUGGAAGUCUUGAGUAUGGUAGAGGUGAGUGGAAUUCCGAGUGUAGAGGUGAAAUUCGUAGAUAUUCGGAGGAACACCAGUGGCGAAGGCGGCUCACUGGACCAUUACUGACGCUGAGGUGCGAAAGCGUGGGGAGCAAACAGGAUUAGAUACCCCAGUAGUCCCUGUCUCUUAUAA
rnacentral:rRNA from 1 species